rnacentral:lncRNA from 10 species
CUUAAUGUGACAUCAUUAGAAAAAUCAACCUUUGACCAGAAAGAGGCAGUUCCCUCCUUCCUCACACAAUUCACAAUUUUCUGGAAUUAUUAAUAAAAAUUGCGUAUCUCUAGGCAGAAGCUCUCCAAUGCUAGAUUUUUCACUAAUAUUCACAUACAAUUUACCUCAAGUUCCUCCUCUGCUCCUGACCUCUCAGGGCAGCUGUGGUACUCACAGGGUAAAUUCCAAACACCUCACCCAGGCACUCAGGGCUUCAAGAAUUGGGCCUGACCUUAGCCAUCAACAUCAUUUCCCACUCCAGAAUGAACACUUUGCCCUGGUCGUGCCAGUCUCUGUAUUUCCUUUACAUGAGUCCUGCUCACUCCUUUUCCACACCUUGGUGUAAGCUGCCCUGAACUGUCCCUCUUGCCUGUGUUCUUUCUCUUCGUCUUUUUCUUCCUUUUAAAAAAUUGAGUGCUCACUGUGUGCCAGUUAUGGCCCUGAAUGCUGAGUAUAAAAUGACUCAUAGGCCGGGCACGGUGGCUCAUGCCUGUAGUCCCAGCACUUUGGGAGGCUGAGGCAGGUGGAUCACCUGAGGUCGGGAGUUCGAGACCAGACUGACCAACAUGGAGAAACCCCGUCUCUACUAAAAAUACAAAAUUAGCCAUGUGUGAUGGCCCAUGCCUCUAAUCCCAGCUACUUGGGAGGCUGAGGCAGGAGAAUUGCUUGAACCCGGGAGGCAGGGUUUGUACCCACUGUGCUCUCACCCCAUGUUAGCCCACCUAGCCUCGUACUCAAGGACAGAGUGCUGAUCUUCCAGCUUCUUCAUGUAUCCUUUCUACAAAUACUGAGCCUGCAUGUUGAUGGCUGCACUGUCUUAGGCUCUGGGAACAAAAGAGUGAACAAAAGUCAGCACAGGUUCCGCCCUUUGGGAGUUUACAUGGAGUCCUGAGUCCUGCAUCUUUUUUUUUUUUUUUUUUUUUUUUUUUUUUUUUUUUUUUGAGGUGGAGUCUUUCUCUGUUGCCCAGGCUGGAGUGCAGUGGUGCGAUCUCAGCUCACUAUAACCUCUGCCUCCCAAGUUCAAGCAAUUCUCCUGCCUCAGCCUCUCAGCCUCUGGAGCCGUUGGGACUACAGUGCACUACCAUGCCCAACUAAUUUUUGUAGUCUUAGCAGAGAUGGGGUUUCGCUAUGUUGGCCAGGCUGGUCCCUAAGUCCUGACCUCAGGUGAUCUGCCCACCUCUGCCUCCCGAAGUACUGGGAUUACAGGCCUGAGCCACCGCGCCUGGCUAGUCUUGCAUUCCUCAUUCUAAAGAUCUAGGUCCCAGCCCACCUUCUUUGUCAGCUUACUCAGCUAUCCUGAUACGCUGAUUGGUGGCCUUAAUGAUGAAGGAUGAUGGUGCUCCUGGCCUCUAGCAGUCCUCCCGUCUCAGCCUCCCAAAGUGCUGGGAUUACAGGUGUGAGCCACUGCACUUGACCCAUAUUCCUUAGAAUUCUUUCAGGGUUUUAUCUGUCUUUGUUUUUACAUUUAACUUUUCAAUCUAAAUGGAAUUAAUUUUGGUAAAUUGUGUAAGGUGAUGCUAAAAUUUUUUUGAUCCCUAACAGCCAGCCUAUUUUCCCAGCUUCAUGUAGUAGAUAAUUCUUCCUUUCUCCACUAAACGGGCUCUGUCUUUAUCAUCCAUUACAUUCUUAUUUGUACCUGAUCAGCUUUGAAUGCUAUUCUGU